rnacentral:snRNA from 1 species
GUGGUCACUUCGCAGCACAUGUACUAAAAUUGGAUCGAUACAGAGAAGAUUCGCAUGGAUAACUUGUGAAUUUGGGAAGCCUUCCAUAUUUUU